CUGCUGCCUCCCGUAGGAGUCUGGUCCGUGUCUCAGUACCAGUGUGGGGGACCUUCCUCUCAGAACCCCUACGCAUCGUCGUCUUGGUGGUCCGUUACACCGCCAACUAACUAAUGCGACGCAUGCCCAUCCGCCACCGGAAUUAACCUUUGGCACCAACAGGAUGUCCCGUCGAUGCAUUAUGCCGUAUUAGACGGAAUUUCUCCCGAUUAUCCGGCUGUGGCAGGCAGGUUGCAUACGUGUUACUUACCCGUGCCG
rnacentral:rRNA from 1 species